UUUGAGUGCAAUAGCCGAAUAGCGUGUGCGCUGCCUUAAUUUAGCGUUAGACGUGCGCGCAAGUAGCAUAAAUUUAGGCACUAUAGUGUGCUGUUGUUUAUGCCGAAUUGUUUUUGUAUGUAUGUAACUAUUACAAAUACAUAUAUGUUGAAACUAAAUUCUUCAAUCCUUGAAAUGUGUGCGCCGGCAAAGAUUUAAGGCCACAAUUUUGUAAAUUCAAACGUUUUAAUUUACCAAGUCCAUAAAAUGCAUUCGGAUCAAUAUUAAUGAUGCUAUUGUCGGCUAAAGUUCUGUGAAUAAUGAAGUAAAAAAUUCAAAUAUCUCAAGCAAUGUUAAAAACUGGCAUAUGAAAUUAAAAUUAGGAGUAGAAAAUGCGCAAAACGCGCUGCAUCCCUAUUUACAUGGCUGUGGAUGAAAGCAGCGCUUUAAGGCUCAUCCUUGCCAAAUGGGCAUUAUUAAUUGCCGGAUGUGUUGAAAUGUGGUAAUAAAGUCAUUUAUCUAAGCAAACUUGAAAGGCUUGAGGGGUGGCGCGGCUGCUGCUAACUGUGCUGCCGACGAAAGUAAGCGCUCAAAGCUACCAAGGCGCAGCGCAGAUAAAUUGAAGUUGAAGAAGAGUAUAAAGGUUGUGCAAAAGUUUAAGCACUUAUAGUCCGCUAAAAUAAGAGCUGGUUGACACUGUUGGCGAUAAGAGCAAAAAAGUUAAAGAAACAGUGCUAGAAAAGCAUCUCUGACAUCAGAGAGAUAGCAGCAGAGCAUAACAUCUCUUAUGGGAUGACACUAUUUUGGUUGAUGUUAAGGGUAUGAAGCGUGUGAAUGCGAGACUUGCCUAAAAAUAGAUACUGGACAACUCAGCUGAAUACCCUACAUUCAUAAAAUACAUAAUUACUGGUAACGAGACGAUGGUUUAUGAAUAUGACGUCGAAACUGUCCGACAAUAUAGCAAAUGAUGUUUCAAAAUUAGCCGCAUCCAAAAAACCACGUCAAAGUCGGGCAAAAUUCAAGUUGAUGCUCAUCGUUUUCUUUGAUUACCGUGGUAUGGUUCACCAUGAAUUCUUUUUCCACUGAGUCUUAUAAUAAAUGUUUGGAAAAUUGAAUGUUUGUAUUGGCUCAAGAGGGGUCUAUUUUGAAUGCGAUAAUAAAGAUUUUAUUAAAA